rnacentral:rRNA from 1 species
UACGUAGGGUGCGAGCGUUGUCCGGAAUUACUGGGCGUAAAGAGCUCGUAGGUGGUUUGUCGCGUUGUCCGUGAAAACUCACAACUCAAUUGUGGGCGUGCGGGCGAUACGGGCAGGCUAGAGUUCGGUAGGGGAGACUGGAAUUCCUGGUGUAGCGGUGAAAUGCGUAGAUAUCUGGAGGAACACCGGUGGCGAAGGCGGCAUCUUGGACCAACACUGACGCUGAGGAGCGAAAGCCAGGGGAGCAAAGCGGG